rnacentral:misc_RNA from 1 species
CUUUUACGUUUUCAAUUUUUUAUUGGUUCAAUUGUAACUCCAAUUCAAAUUCUCAGAGACGAUUCAAAGCUUUUAUUCCUCAUCAAGUGAUGGUAAGAUACAAAUACAUCACUCUGUCAUCCAAAUCAAAUGAGUGUCAAAACAUUGGAAGACCAAACUAGGAAGAUGAGGCUACCACGACCAUAUUCUGCAAACUUUGCCUACACAAUUAAGGACUUCACUCAAUUCUUUUUCUUGCUAAAAUGGCAUACAGUUUCUAGCAUGAUACUUAAAUUGCACUGCAGAUGCCAAGCAAAUAUCAAGAGAAGUUAUCAGGCCAUUUCAUAAGACACAAGUCGGCCUGAGAUACAACACAUACAUGAAGAAACCAUUAAGAAUGUGCAGAUGUAAGAGUAGGACAAUCAUUUAAUGGAGCUAACAACAUGAACACAAUCCUCUUAUUGUCCCACGACAAUAGGGAUAACCAUGAUCAGAACUAAUGGAAGUUCUGUGAGAAAACCAAGAAAAUUACUUCUUCACUGGCGACUCAUAACUUGCCAAAUGACUGGCAUCAAACAAAUUAAUCGAACUAAUUAAUGGGUAGGCUUUGUUCCUGGAACUGCACAUUUUUUUAAAAAGGUCACCUACAACAAGGAGGAUCUGGCCAAGAACAAAUAAAAUGCAGACAUACCUGAAUGUAGCUUCCAACCAUGAAGACCUUCUGACCAUUGCCACAAGCAGAGAAGUCCCUUUAAUGUGCCACACCAAGGUGUCUUAUUUACUUGUCGACCUGAAAUCCCAAGAGGAUUCACACAAUCUUGGAAUUUGAUUUAUUAGUGUAGCUUGAGCAUAUAGCAGACCUUACAUGAGCCAUCAUGCAAUCAAAGUGUAAAUUUCAAAUUCCCAAUAGGAAUUAAAGACCUAAAGUGACUUUUGGUAAUUAUCACUGACAUUACCAAAUCUAUGCUCAUGGUUAUUAUAGACUUUGGUGCACGUUUAACAAUUCAGUCAAGAGUUCAAUUAAAGGAAGUCUGACUCAAUAAAUCAAAUAUCAAUAAGAGAUUAAAAUCUCAUAACCAACCAAACCUCUCCAGAACAUCAGGAAAAUGUCUUUAUCAGUACUGGAAGUCAUUUUAAUAGCUCAAUGUAUUUUCUCCACUUCUUCACAUGCUUGAUUGGAAAGGACAUGCCAAAUUCUCUAAUUUUUCAAGAUGCAAAGAAGUUAGACCCUUUACUUCACAGAACUUUUACCCAAACAUCUUAAGUUUUCCAUGACAGUUUGAAUUUGCUCUGAAAUAGCCAUGUAGAGAUACCUCUGUGCUGCUUCAUCCAGUCCAUAAUGAGAAAUGCUGGGCCAUCCUCUGGUACGAAAAUGCAGAUUACGAGACAUGGAGAUUGCCAUUUGCCUCAUUUUAGGAAGGUCAAAUUCCAUUGGCUCACCAACAACAAUGUUAAUUAUUUUGUUACAUAAUGGAAAAGGAGGCCUUCUCCCAAACCAAUAAUUCUCAGGCAUCACCUGCAUUUAUAGUUCAUGGUGUAAAAUGAGAUAAUAUAGACAAUAAAAAUGGGUCAGUUAGGAUAAGAAAUAAAAUCACCCAUAUGAUUCAACAUAUUAGCAACUUAAAUAUAAUACAUUCUCUAUAACUUCAUUUCACUUAAAUGUGAAUGAUAGGUUUACAUAUAUGUCAAAUAUUGAAGUGCUAACUUUAGAUAUGCAUGGUUAAGCGUUCAGAGUUUUUAUUUACAUAACUUCACAAAUCAUGGCAGCCUGGAAAAUAAUUGUAAUCAUGUUAUAAAAGAGAAUCUCCCCCAUGCCCAAACUGCUAAGGAGAGAGGAUUUUCCCCAAAAGAGGCUUGUUCUAGUUAGCACUAUCAAGGGCCUCAAGGAGAAUCUUUUGAACGCUUAUUUUUUCAAUCAAACAUAUGAAUGGAGAAAUUUGUUCCAAUUAUAUGCAUUUGGUUAGAUUUACUUGCCAAAAUAAUGAAAUGAACUUUUGCACCCCAACAAACAAUACCAUCCUACCCCUCCAACCUAUUCAGUUCUCUUACUCAAGGUUUUAAAAGAUGUAAUCAGUAAUGGUGCAAUGAAAUAGAACUAAAUCAGUCCCAAAAGAACCAAUCAGCUGGCAAUUCGGUGAACUAUUUUAAAUCAUUAGCAAAAUGACCAAAAUCAACAAUAAAUCAAGAAUUGAACUAAUAUGCAAGAUAUCAAGUCAAAACACACCUAAAAUUAUUUUAAUUACAUAUAUUUUUAAAUAUUUUCAUAAAAAAUACUUAGGCUUGAAGAGUGUGAAAGAAUGAGACACUUGCCAAAUCAAUGAGAAGCCAAGGAUAAAAAAAAUCUCAAGAUAGAAUGACACAUAGAGCUCAAUUCUUUACUUACACAGAUUGGACUGGGCUUUUGAUGUGAGAAAACCCUAUGUUACCUAGUGUCUAAAAUCAAAGCCAAACAUUAUCUAUCAUCUUAUAAGCUGUUUCUCUUCAUUCAUGGUUUAAUAUCAAACAGUGUUUAAUUGUUUAUAAGUCGCACGUCUUAAUGUGUGAGAGAAUCAAAUGCAUACCAGUAGUUCUUAACACCAUUCUAAGAAAUAUGGAAACAAGUUCAACCACAAGGUCCACAACACAAACACUGGAUGGAACAUUAGCUCAGUCAGGAGCAUAUUGGUCAUAAAUCAUAACUCAUAAGUACUAUAUUGAGUAACCUAUUCAGGGCUUCCUCACCACAUCAUUGUUCAACCUCCAGUCAAACAAUAGGGUAAACCUUCAGGCGAGCACUUAGGAGCAAUGCCUGCAUAACCUAUGCAUGGAAAAAAAUGUUAAUGGCUAAUUAAGUACAAAUAUAGGCCCAACCUAGGUGGUAAACAAGUUUUUACAGUGACAUUGGUGCAUUCAUGAUUUUCUGGCAAACAAAAGUAUAUUAGUUGCAAAAAAUGAAAAAAGGAGAGGAAAUCUUUUAGCGGAUUCAAUAAAUUUUAAAGAAGUUACCACCUCAAAACCUUGAUGAACAAUGGGCAAGACUAUUGGGGUUAUAGGGGAACGGACAAUAAGACUCACAGUCUUAUUGGUGCAUCCUCUUGCAAAACUUUUCCUUGGGGAAAUGCAUGCAGAAGUCGAGCAGAGUCAAACGAGCAGAUUAAACAAAUUUAGCUGCCUCUUCCUUCAGUAACCAGCCCCCAGACCAGAUUUGUUAACAGACUUGGAUGCUUCCCACGCAUUACUGAUCAGUUAUCACUAACAUUUGGCCCAAGGAGUUCAUCCAUGCUCCAUUGCUCAAGUGUUCAAGAGCUUCAUUCAUGUGUUCUUGAUAAAUUCCAGCACCCCUAAUAAUAGGUAUACAUUUCCCUUCACAAUUUCCAAUUUCAGAAACAAAGGCCAAUGUUAAGAUUAUUAUGUUUCAAAGCAACACUAGUCUAAUCAUGCUAAUAAUCAUUAUGAUUGCCAGGAAUUCCAACUGAGUACAAGCAAAACUAACAAAGUAAUUACCCCUAAUUGACUCGACCGUUUAAGCUAAAUCCUACACAUGGCAAAAAAAAGGAGAAAAGGGAAACUGUAAAGAGAACUAAUCACAGCUGUUGCCCCUAAUUCACUGCACCCUUCUUGUAUCUGUGAAAAACAUUUGCAAACCUUCCCAAAUAGAACCACCUUAACUGAAUUCAGUUCCCCAGCUGCUGGUUUAGUCCCAAGUAAUAACAAAAGAUUCUAAAGCUAUUCACAAUAGUUUGAAACCCUUGAAGGUUAGACAAGUUACCUCCAAACAGAAAAUAUGGCAGAGUUGUAGCCAAACAGAAUAGAAAUUGUGAUCUUACCUCAGCCUCUUCUAAAGAAACAACAAACUUGAUUCCGAUCCUGAUGUUUAUUGUAGUGAUAUGAUUGCAUCGAAAUUCUAAUAUUUUAUUUGAUUUCAAAUGUUCACAUUCUUGAUUUACACAAAAUUAACAUGGCAAUGUAGCUCUCUACCAAUGUGCUCUGUAAUUGAGAAAAAGAAAAAAAAAAUCUUUUGAGACACCACCUCCGCCGUAAACAAUGCUAGAAUCAUCAUUCAAAUCCCAAGCACUACUAAAUGAAUAUCCAACUUUUAUUAAAUCCGUUGAAAAGCCAAUUCCACAUUAUUUUCUUCCAGCAUUUGAUGCCUUUUUUAAAGCUGGAUAAGAGGAAAGGUGAAAAAAAAUCUUUGCAUGCCUACAAACAACAAUCUGGUGGAGUUUUAUGAGCAAACGAAUGAUAUAAAUGAUUAAUGCACCAUUUUAGCAAGUAGCUAGGUAAAAAACACUCAAUAGCCCCCCAGAACUGCCCUUGAAACUAUUCUGGUGAAGAGUUCUAUAACCAAAAUGAAAAUGGAAAAAGAAUAAUAAGAAGUUACAUAAUCUUCUUCCUAAGUUUCUAGGACUAGAAAAGGAAUCACAAUUGCCAAUCUAGCAGAAUAUUGUAUUCUAUGUACUGAUUUUCUAGAAAUAUAAGCAAUAGACAGCUUGAAUUAGUAGCCUAAGCAUUCUGAAAUUGUAAAGUGACCUUCAGCUGAUUUUUCAUGCUCACAUAUGAUCUAAAGAAGUAAUUUGAACCCUCAAAAAUAUUCCUAAAAAAAAAAAAAAAGAAGG